AUCCUUCUAAGGUCAAACGGGAGAUGAUGAUUGGUUGAUCAUGUCUUAGUACAUGAGACGUGUGACCAUUUUAUCCUUGUUACAUACCAUCACGUUGACCAUCUGAUC